GGGAAUGUGGCUCAGUGGUAGAGCGCCUGCCUAGCAUGCAUGAAGCCUUGGGUCUGAUUCCUCAGUACCA
rnacentral:tRNA from 1 species